AAAAUCCGUUGACUUUUGAAAUUGGGGGGGGUCCAGGCCCUCUUUCCCCA
rnacentral:tRNA from 1 species